rnacentral:rRNA from 1 species
GGUGAACGCUGGCGGCGUGCCUAAUACAUGCAAGUCGAGCGAACGGACGAGAAGCUUGCUUCUCUGAUGUUAGCGGCGGACGGGUGAGUAACACGUGGAUAACCUACCUAUAAGACUGGGAUAACUUCGGGAAACCGGAGCUAAUACCGGAUAAUAUUUUGAACCGCAUGGUUCAAAAGUGAAAGACGGUCUUGCUGUCACUUAUAGAUGGAUCCGCGCUGCAUUAGCUAGUUGGUAAGGUAACGGCUUACCAAGGCAACGAUGCAUAGCCGACCUGAGAGGGUGAUCGGCCGCACUGGAACUGAGACACGGUCCAGACUCCUACGGGAGGCAGCAGUAGGGAAUCUUCCGCAAAGGGCGAAAGCCUGACGGAGCAACGCCGCGUGAGUGAUGAAGGUCUUCGGAUCGUAAAACUCUGUUAUUAGGGAAGAACAUAUGUGUAAGUAACUGUGCACAUCUUGACGGUACCUAAUCAGAAAGCCACGGCUAACUACGUG